GGGGAGAAGAGAGUGACAAGGGAGGGGGGAGAGAUUGACAUCCAUCACACACACACACACACAAUCACACACAAUGCACCCCUUACACACAAAGACAAUGAACCCCUUGCACACAGAAAAACACACAAUGCAUUACACACACAAUGCAUUACAUACACACACACACGCAAUGCAACCCUUACACACAAUGCAUCCCUUGCACACACAGAAACACACAAUGCAUUCCUUACACACACUCAAUGCACCCCUUACAGACUCACACAGCAUCCCUUACAUACACAGAAACACACCUUGCAGCCCUUACACAUACAAACACAGAUUCACACAAUGCAUUCCUUACACACAAAUCAGGACAUCCCCUACACACUCCAUCCCCUGUGAACAAACUCAUUGGUGGAAAAUGAAGGUGGACCCUGGGACCCAGACCUUGAGCUGUGUAAAGGGCCCCCAAAAAAUGGAGCUGCUUCUCGUU